AGGGGUUUGAUCUACGGGCUCAGGACGAACGCUGGCGGCGUGCUUAACACAUGCAAGUCGAACGAGGGCCCGGAGCUUGCUCUGGUGACCCGAGUGGCGGACGGGUGAGUAACACGUGACCAACCUACCUUCGGGAGGGGGACAACCUGGGGAAACUCGGGCUAAUACCGCAUAUCGUCCACGGGUCGCAUGACCUGUGGAUAAAAGGGAGCCUCUGCUUGCAAGCUCUCACCCGAAGAGGGGGUCGCGGCGUAUCAGCUAGUUGGUGGGGUAAUGGCCUACCAAGGCAACGACGCGUAGCGGGUCUGAGAGGACGACCCGUCACAUUGGGACUGAGAUACGGCCCAGACUCCUACGGGAGGCAGCAGUGGGGAAUAUUGCGCAAUGGCCGAAAGGUUGACGCAGCGACGCCGCGUGUGGGAGGACGCCCUUCGGGGUGUAAACCACUGUCAGGGGGGAAGAACUUCGUAGGUGUGAAUAGCGCCUGCGGUUGACGGUACCCCCAGAGGAAGCGCCGGCUAACUCCGUGCCAGCAGCCGCGGUAAGACGGAGGGCGCAAGCGUUGUUCGGAAUUACUGGGCGUAAAGGGCAGGUAGGUGGUCUGUUAAGUCUUCUGCGAAAACCCGGGGCUCAACCCCGCGGAAUGCAGGUGAAACUGGCA
rnacentral:rRNA from 1 species